rnacentral:lncRNA from 1 species
CCGAUAUCUUGACUUUUGUGUUCGAUUUCAGACUUCAGGCCACCUCUUUCUUUUUCUAAAUAUGAUGCAUGGUCUAUUAAAAAUUGUAUUGCAGUAAAAGAGCGACAGUUUGGGAAUUGCAGGUCUCCUGCUGAUGUAAGUGGGGAAAGACUGGACAGGACCCGGCUGAGAAGUGUCCCUGGGACUCCAGACCCCUUGAGAGAGCAGUCACUGUCACCAUAGCCAGCAGAACUCUUCCUCCUCCCCAGGGCAUGCAGUGCAAAACCUACGUUCAGCCACCCAGUUGACUACUCUAACCGUCGUUGGCUUCUUCAUGAACUCCUCAGGAUUUUGCAUGAAAAAGUUUCAGAAUUAGAAGGACAAAAGUGCAAUGGAAUUUUUUUGCUGGUUGAUACUUCCAUCUUUCUUGCAAAAAGCACAUGAAAAAUAAAUGUCGGAGGAUACAGUACCAGGACGUGCAGCUACACUACAAAAGCAUUGUCCGGAACCAGAUUCAAUAAAUUAAUGGCAAACUAGACUGGAUUUCUAGCCUAGGGGAGAAAGACUAAUUGAGAUUAAACCAAAAGGGUUAUAAACUGCUACAUGUGUUUGUGCUUUUGUUUACGACGGAUGGGUUUCAUUUUUGGAAACUGCUUGUACAAGCUGCAAGGCCCUCCACAGGAGGCUUUCCACGUCAAACAGCUAAACUGCUCCUUUGUCAGAUGGAAGUGAAACGGCUAGCUCUCAGGUAACUGCACUUAGGAAGAGAGGGAGAGAGGGGGGAAACCAGAAAGGGCCACCUAUGCAUCUGCACCCCAGCUCCGCUUAGGGCGGAUGAUGGGAAGGGCGAAGCCUCUUGUGUACAGAGCAUAUUAAAGACAAACUGCCCGAAGAGACAUUUUUGUCUUUUAAUAUAUGUAGCUACAAUAAGUACCAAAGGAGAAUUAAUUGAUGCUAACAUUUUAUAAAGACAUCCUAUUGCAGCGGGGGAGAAAGACAGCCUUAGACUUUCACUGGGGGAUGGAGCUGAGACCCAUGGAGAUAAACAUAAACACUGAGCGGGUAGCGGUUGCUGAUGAGAUUACAAAAUUUAGCAAAGAACUCGGGACAAAAUCCAAAUGGAACCCAAAAGUGGAGGAAUUAGGAAAGAAAGAUGAGCAGGAGGGAGGCUAAAAGGUCUCAUGUUCUUUAAUGAAAAUAAAUUAGUUAUAAUAGCGACUUUUUUUUUUUUUUUUUACUAUUAGAGGUUCGUUCUAAUCUGAGAGAUAGGACACAUACUCGGCCUCAGUUCUGUCAAAGUGCAAACAAAGCGAUGUCUCCAGAGGGCCUGACCGCAGACAGUAAGACAGUGAACUCCACACAGGGAUGAAGCCUGCUCACAAAGGGACCACGGUGCCGCCAAUCCUGAUUCGAAGGAUGGUGGUCUUUCAAUCAUAAAACUGGUAUUUCAGAGGAAAAUCAAUGAAGGACUAUGAGCUAAACUGCAAAAUUCUGACUCAUGGCAAACUGUUCCCUAGGUUACAAUUUUUAAAACCUUUUUUUUC